rnacentral:lncRNA from 11 species
UUGAUUUAAAAAAUAUUGCUACUUUAAUCUUCCAAAGCUUAUCGUAUGAAAGAUAAAGAAAGACAAGGCAGUGUCUUACAUUUCCGCAGCAGUAAAGCGACCAAGGUAUCGAUAGAUCGUUUUCUUUUUGCGAAAAUCUCGGAGACUAGAGCUGAGCUACGAUUGCACGUGCAUACAGGGAAAAAUUGUUCAAAAUGUCCUAUAUUCGAAAUAUCGAACGUAUCCAAAAGUCAUUGAAAUCUAAGAACAAGGGUCGUCGGUCGCCGGAUUGAAAAAACUUAUCCCGAAACACAAAUCCAAUACACUGAUGAUAUCCGUUUCUAAUUGAAUUAUAACAGAUGUUUCUUACAAUCUUGCAUACGUAGUUGUGAUCGGAUUUUGGUAAUUAUUUAUAUUAAGGAACACCAACGCCGAUGACAUUGAUUCUCACGUAUAUCGUUAAGUACUUGAUUCUGAGUAAAUUUUUGCUAAUAACUUCAUCAGUGGUCUAAUUAUUACCUUCGAGAUAUUUAUAAAAAAAAAACUGUUCCUCUUAGUAUAUUGAAUCUUGCCUAUACGCUUGUAUGCUUAUUUACUGUUUCUAGAUUCAAGUUUUUCUUUAAGAUUCUUCUCUAUUCCUGUAGAGAGUGCCGAUAGAUGUUAGACGUAUCGAACGUGGAAAAGGAUAAUGCGAGUGAAAAAGAAAGAGGGACUAAGAGUCGAAACGUUUGGCUUCCAUAUGAAAUAGUAGAAAGGCACGCUACAAGCUGAGACCUUUAACUGAAAUAUCGAACUUUUUUAUUUUUCAUUUGUGAUGAAUAGAACCUUUAUCAACGUGUUUUUUUUUACGCGUUUCUGGUUACUAUAAUUUGCGAACAUAUUCGCUUAUUUCAUAAAUAAUAAUUAAAUAAAUAUCAGUAAGUAAAUAUAAAAU